GGAGCGUCCGGGACGCGGCGGGACUCGAGUGUUUCGGAAAAGGAGCGUCUCCCCAGGCGGUGGUUGUCUUCACUAGCGAUGGGGUAAAAGGAGGACGCAAUACCUGGUUCAACUUGAGCAGGUACAUUUUGACCAUAUUCCAGGUGUCAUGUGAAGAUUUAAGCCUCUUUCCAACCCCCACUCCCCCCGAAUCUACUGCAUCCUUUUUGGAGUCUUCAUUCUUAGGCACAUUUUGUCAAGACUUAAAACCUACCAAAGAAAAGAUACACUGAGGUCAGAUCCAAUCCCACUGGGGGCCAGCGAGUGAAAUGCGACGGUUUCCUUUUAUAAUCUCUGUUUUUCAUAAUGAUGACAUUAAAAAUCUUGAGGUUUCCCAGUAGAUAUUUAAGCUGAAAGCAACAUUGUGCUUGUCUUCAGAGACCAAGACUUUCUGGCUCUUGUCUUGGAAUAUUUCGCAAAGUCAUAGGCAAAACACACACAAACAAACAGAACCAAAACACAGCAGACCACUCACGGGGGACCGAACCAGGCAGUUAGCCCAGCAUCCCCCUGCUGCGGGAGGAGGGAGCUUGGAUACUCCUCUCUGGAGAAUCCUGCUCUGGAAAUCCCCACACCCCAAAAUGCAAUGUAGAGGGGCAGUGAGUCAGCACCUCACCCCAAAUGAAUGGCCGUUCUGCUCAGCAGGCUCAACGCUUAGAUCCCCAGAUCCAGUUUCUCUUUGCUUUCUGUAAUUGGAAGAAUGGAAUAGGAUUGCUGCUAGAAAUCUUUGAGGUCACUGGUUUGAAAGUGGGAUUAUGAGCAUGAAUUUUUGUUGUUGUUGUUUGUUUGUUUUCAGACGGAGUCUCGCUAUGUUGCCCAGGCUGGGGUGCAGUGGCGUGAUCUCUGCUCACUGCAAGCUCCGCCUCCCGGGUUCACGCCAUUCUCCUGCCUCAGCCUCCCGAGUAGCUGGGACCACAGGCGCCCGCCACCACGCCCGGCUGAUUUUUUUUAUUUUUAGUAGAGACGGGGUUUCACCGUGUUAGCCAGGAUGAUCUCAAUCUCCUGACCUCGUGAUCCGCCCGCCUGGGCCUCCCAAAGUGCUGGGAUUACAGGUGUGAGCCACCGCGCCUGGCCGAGCAUGUUAAUUUAAGCAAAUGAAUGUCCCUGGGAAUGAUCUUCAAGGAGAAUUAAAGUGGGAUAGAGAAGUCAUCUAUCUGCACCUGUGUCUGAACCAGAAUGACGAGGCACUUCCAUGUCAGCUAGUUACUGGAGCAGGCGGAGUAAGGAGUACCCCUGGGCUUCUGCCCCGAAACCACCACGGCUACUUCAAAACAAUAUUACAUUAAUUUUCCUGCUUGUUCUUGAGAAGCACUGGUUUGAAAAAUUGGAUGGGGUGAUACAUGUUUUAAUCAGUAUUUACAAGGCUCCUUAAUCACUUCAUCAGACAAUUCAUUGAGCACCUACUAUGUGCCAGGCAGUGUAAUUCAUUGAGCACCUGCUGUGUGCCAGGCAGUGUCUGAGGCACUUCUAGCUAUUAUUUCCUAAGGGUUCCAGCAGCCCAUGGAUAAACUUCAAAGAGUGAAUGAGCAUCUCUAGCCUCUGCCUGUUCAUCUGGGACAAUCUGCACCUGGGCGUGGACCUGCUGCUUCAGAUCAGUAGGUAUCAGAAUGAACUCAGUUGGAUGGGGCAGUUCAGGACCCCUGGCCUCCUUUUAGUCUGGACCCCACUCUCAUUCCUCAUAUUCUCAAUUCACUCUUUCUACUGAGUUACUAUCCUAGUAAUGACAAUGCCUCCUAUCAUCUAGAGACUUGGUUUGAUACAAUGCAUUCACAUACAACUGCUCGUUUUGAUUUCUAUAACUGGGGAAUACAGAAAGCAAAUAUGCGGUGCAAUGGAGGAUGUCUCCAUUACCCCAGAUAACUCCAAAAUUCUUCACCUAGUUACCAGUGCAGGAAAUUCGUUCGAAGGCAGAAAUGGAAAAUGAAUAAGAAACAAUUUGGAUGUGUUCCAAAAAUGGAGAGUUGUCAGGCACUAUAUCAUACAACCUGAAAUAUCAAUGGUGAAGUAGACAGUUCACCUCCACAGGGGGCAGGAGGUUGGACCCAGGGCAAUGGAUGUUUUAUAUGGAUGGUUAACCGGUCUGUGGCCAUGAGGUGGAAAGCUGUGUACACCUGUGAAGCCAUCAUCACAAUCAAGUUAGGGAACAUAUCCAUCACCCAAAAAAGUGUUCUCAUGCCCUUUGGUAAUUCCUCCCUCCUAAAUGUCCCCACCCUACCCCACAUCCCAGUUUCUAUGCAAAAACCGCUGACCAACUUUCUAUCACUAUAGAUUUGUUUGUAUUUUCUAGACUUUUAUAUAAAAAGAAUUAUACUGUAUGUACACUUUUUUGUCUGUUUUUUUCACUUAACAUAUUUAUUUUCAGAAUCAUCUAUCUUGUUGCAGGUGUAUUCCUUUUUAUUGCUCAGUAGUAUUCCACUGUAUGGAUAUAACACAAUUUGUUUAUCAUUCACCUGUUGAGGGACAUUAUACUUGCUUCUAAAUUUUUACUAUCACAAAUAAAGCUGCUGUAGG
rnacentral:lncRNA from 1 species